AGAGCAGGGAGCGGCCAGAGGCUGACACCAGGAAGGGGUCAUGGGGACCAGGAUGGAAGCGCACCAGAGACAUAGCCUGGGGGCUCCCCCCAAUUCUUAGAAGAAUCCAGUAGGUCCUGGGAUCCAGCAAAGCAAGAGGGAUGGAGUCAGAGAGGAUACCCAGCGACACUCCAGUGACUGGCUGCUCCCAUAUCCUGGGUCCAGGAGGGAAGACUAUAGGAGCGGAAUUGCACCUGACCCAUGAUCCAUCAGAGUUUUUCUCUCAAUAUCAAGCUUCCACAGACUCUCUGCUGCGGUGGAAAUAUUUGAAAACAAUCAAGUGGAACCCACUGGGGAUGCUGUGUCCUUUUGAAUGCAGUCCACAGCUUCUCCCUGGACAAGGUCAAUCUGUUGCAAUAUACUGUUGUGGUUGAAGUUUAUGAAGAAAAUCAGACCUCACACAACUAUGUACGUGGAAGAGGAGGAGUAUUUUAAUAGUCCUUGCAGAAAAUUGUGAAUAUUCACCUUUAAUACUACAUGAAAAUUCAACAAGUGGUAGUUUCUUAAAGGUUAGUUGCAAUACGGAAUCUGAAAUCCUAUCAACGGAACUUUCUUACUGUUAUGUUAAAAUCCACUGAUCCUCUCUUGCCUUUUUAAUAGGUCUUUUAUCCGUGUACCAUUCUGUAACAUCAUGCGUUGGUCCUGUGGAAAAUACUGGGUCACUGACUCUGAAACACUGACAUAUUUCAUUACACUAUAACGAAAAAUGUCAUGAUUAAUAUCACCCUUGAUAUUAUCACCAUGGAUCUCACCAGCAAGUUCUGUUACAAUCGACACACUGUCAAAUCCACGCUGUGAAAUUUCCAGCAUUUUAGUUUUUGCUCAAAAGCUUGAAUUUUGUCAUUGGCAACAAGUACUGUCAGUUGUUUUGCUUUCAGUGACAAGAGUCACCGCCUUCAUUCCAAGAUGUCUGCCAAGUAUCCAAAUCUGAAGAACCACAAUUUUUUUUUUCAGAACACCAAGUAAAAACGGUGUUCUGUGAAAAACAGCUGGUUUCACCUGCACCUCAAACAAUUACGUAGGCGCCUUUCCUAGAGAUAACCGUGGUAUUUUGAUGGAACAGAAUUGUUGUAUGCAUAUGUCUGACUCCAUUACACAGAAUUUAGACAGUCAUUUACUCAAGGAUCAAGCUGUAAUAAAAAUAAUGAUUUUACUG
rnacentral:lncRNA from 1 species